rnacentral:rRNA from 1 species
CCUACGGGGGGCUGCAGUGGGGAAUAUUGGACAAUGGGGGCAACCCUGAUCCAGCCAUGCCGCGUGUGUGAAGAAGGCCCUCGGGUUGUAAAGCACUUUCAGUGAGGAAGAACGCCUGGUGGUUAAUACCCAUCAGGAAAGACAUCACUCACAGAAGAAGCACCGGCUAACUCCGUGCCAGCAGCCGCGGUAAUACGGAGGGUGCGAGCGUUAAUCGGAAUUACUGGGCGUAAAGCGCGCGUAGGUGGCUUGAUAAGCCGGUUGUGAAAGCCCCGGGCUCAACCUGGGACCGGCAUCCGGAACUGUCAAGCUAGAGUGCAGGAGAGGAAGGUAGAAUUCCCGGUGUAGCGGUGAAAUGCGUAGAGAUCGGGAGGAAUACCAGUGGCGAAGGCGGCCUUCUGGACUGACACUGACACUGAGGUGCGAAAGCGUGGGUAGCAAACAGGAUUAGAUACCCUGGUAGUC